GUCUGAGAAAGAUGACUGCACUCCAGACUGCAAUGACUGUCUUUCUGUGAGUCUGUGAGACAGACUGAGGUUAACAGAAGAGAAAGGACACAAGGCUAAAUAUGCUGCAUAGUAUGGAUGGUCACUGUCAGAAAGGCAUUUAUCUCACAUCAGAUAUCAUUCGGCAACCAGACACCAGUUUCCAGCUACACAAUGGUUAUUUGUAACCAACACAAUGCAUCUUUCAUUUUCAUAUGUGUAAUAUUUGGAUUCAGAUCACUCACAUCUGUCUCUGUGUGAGUCUAUGGAAUGUAAACAAUAAACAGACGGCGAUUGGCUUGUG